AGAGUUUGAUCCUGGCUCAGAUUGAACGCUGGCGGAAUGCUUUACACAUGCAAGUCGAACGGCAGCACGGGAGCUUGCUCCUGGUGGCGAGUGGCGAACGGGUGAGUAAUGCGUCGGAACGUACCGAGUAAUGGGGGAUAACGCAGCGAAAGCUGUGCUAAUACCGCAUACGCCCCGAGGGGGAAAGCAGGGGAUCGCAAGACCUUGCGUUAUUCGAGCGGCCGACGUCUGAUUAGCUAGUUGGUGGGGUAAAGGCCUACCAAGGCGACGAUCAGUAGCGGGUCUGAGAGGAUGAUCCGCCACACUGGAACUGAGACACGGUCCAGACUCCUACGGGAGGCAGCAGUGGGGAAUUUUGGACAAUGGGGGGAACCCUGAUCCAGCCAUUCCGCGUGAGUGUAGAAGGCCUUCGGGUUGUAAAGCUCUUUCAGCAGGAGCGAAACGGUCGUUUUUAAUACAGACGGCUAAUGACGGUACCUGCAGAAGAAGCACCGGCUAACUACGUGCCAGCAGCCGCGGUAAUACGUAGGGUGCGAGCGUUAAUCGGAAUUACUGGGCGUAAAGCGUGCGCAGGCGGCGACAUAAGACAGAUGUGAAAUCCCCGGGCUCAACCUGGGAACUGCGUUUGUGACUGUGUUGCUAGAGUGUAGCAGAGGGGGGUGGAAUUCCACGUGUAGCAGUGAAAUGCGUAGAGAUGUGGAGGAACACCGAUGGCGAAAGGCAGCCCCCUGGGUUAACACUGACGCUCAUGCACGAAAGCGUGGGGAGCAAACAGGAUUAGAUACCCUGGUAG
rnacentral:rRNA from 1 species